UCUCUGGAACCUCCUCAAGCCAAAGAUCAGACACAAGCCUGAGCUCUGGGCCCAUGGUCUAGCUUGUCCUUGAAGUAUGAGGCUGGUGACUGGAGUAACGGUGUUUCUGACCUUGGGAAAUGUGUUUGAUGCUAAGACCACCCAGCCCAGCUCCAUGGAUUAUCCUGAAGGAGAGGAUGUAAGUCUGCCUUGUAAUCACUCUACCAUUAGUGGAAAUGAGUAUAUACACUGGUAUCGGCAAAAUCCCAAUCAGAGUCCGCAGUAUAUCAUUCAUGGCUUACGAGACACAGUGAACAGCAGCAUGGCCUCUCUGCACAUAGCUUCAGACAGAAAGUCCAGCACCUUGGUCCUGCCCCAGGUCACCCUGAGAGACGCCGCUGUGUACUACUGCAUCCUGAGAGAGGCACACUGGGGCAGACAGGGCUGCACUUGUGCAGUAUCUCUGGUGGCAGGAAGUGGGGACACAGCGGGGAGAGCAGUCACGAGAGCAAAUCUAGAGUCAUCUAGAAGGAGAGUCAGAGAGCAGUAA